GACGGACGGUGCAAGCGUUGCUCGGAAUCACUGGGCGUAAAGGGUGCGUAGGCGGCCGUGCAAGUCUGGCGUGAAAGCCCCGGGCUCAGCCCGGGAAGUGCGCUCGAAACUGCGCGGCUCGAGUGCCGGAGGGGAGAGUGGAAUUCCUGGUGUAGCGGUGAAAUGCGUAGAUAUCAGGAGGAACACCAAUGGCGAAGGCAAUUUGCUAGGCUGAUUCAGACACUGAGAUGUGAAAGCGUGGGGAGCGAAUGGG
rnacentral:rRNA from 1 species